GAGUUUGAUCCUGGCUCAGAACGAACGCUGGCGGCGUGGAUAAGACAUGCAAGUCGAACGGGAUUUUAUUUGUAGUAAUACAGAUAAAAUUUAGUGGCGAACGGGUGCGUAACACGUGAGUAAUCUGCCAAGAAGUGGGGGAUAGCUCGCCGAAAGGCGAAUUAAUACCGCAUGUGACUAGUAGGGGCAUCUCUACCAAGUUAAAGCCGUAAGGCGCUUUUUGAUGAACUCGCGGCCUAUCAGCUAGUUGGUGAGGUAAUGGCUCACCAAGGCAAUGACGGGUAGCUGGUCUGAGAGGACGACCAGCCACACUGGAACUGAGACACGGUCCAGACACCUACGGGUGGCAGCAGUUAGGAAUCUUGGACAAUGGGCGCAAGCCUGAUCCAGCCAUGCCGCGUGAGUGAUGAAGGCCUUAGGGUUGUAAAGCUCUUUCAGCGGGGAAGAUAAUGACGGUACCCGCAGAAGAAGCCCCGGCUAACUUCGUGCCAGCAGCCGCGGUAAC
rnacentral:rRNA from 1 species